AUUAAUAGUUAACUAAGAAAUUUUCGGUUUGAGGUAGGAUUCUAAUUAUGAAACUAGAAUCUCUAAUAUAAAUUAGAACAUGAUAUAUAUAUAUAGGUAAACAAUGCUUUAAAUAAUUUUUUUUUUUUUUUUGGAUUUAUAUUCUUUAAAAUAUGAAUUUUAUACUCAUAAACCAUCUUUUAACUACUAAUUACUCUAUAAUUUUUAAUUUUUAAAAUUACUAAAAUUUUUCAAAGUUAACGCAAUCAAAAAUUUUAACUUCUCUUGUG
rnacentral:lncRNA from 1 species